GGAACCUGGCGGCGUGCUAAUACAUGCAGUCGAGCGGAGUUUUAAUUGGUGCUUGCACCGAUUAAACUUAGCGGCGGACGGGUGAGUAACACGUGGGUAACCUACCCUAUAGACUGGGAUAACUUCGGGAAACGAGGCUAAUACCGGAUAAUACUUGAAACCACAUGGUUUCUUGUUAAAAGAUGGUUCUGCUAUCACUAUAGGAUGGACCCGCGGCGCAUUAGCUAGUUGGUGAGGUAACGGCUCACCAAGGCGACGAUGCGUAGCCGACCUGAGAGGGUGAUCGGCCACACUGGGACUGAGACACGGCCCAGACUCCUACGGGAGGCAGCAGUAGGGAAUCUUCCACAAUGGACGAAAGUCUGAUGGAGCAACGCCGCGUGAGUGAUGAAGGAUUUCGGUUCGUAAAACUCUGUUGCGAGGGAAGAACAAGUAGCGUAGUAACUGGCGCUACCUUGACGGUACCUCGUUAGAAAGCCACGGCUAACUACGUGCCAGCAGCCGCGGUA
rnacentral:rRNA from 1 species